rnacentral:rRNA from 1 species
UACAGAGGGUGCAAGCGUUAAUCGGAAUUACUGGGCGUAAAGGGCAUGUAGGCGGUUGUAUAAGUCAGUUGUGAAAUCCCCGGGCUUAACCUGGGAACUGCAAAUGAUACUGUAUGACUAGAGUCGAAGAGAGGGAAGUGGAAUUUCCGGUGUAGCGGUGAAAUGCGUAGAUAUCGGAAGGAACAUCAGUGGCGAAGGCGACUUCCUGGCUUCAGACUGACGCUGAGGUGCGAAAGCGUGGGUAGCGAACAGG